rnacentral:sRNA from 1 species
ACCAACCAAAAGAAUAAAAUUAUGCAAAUUUUUUUGUUGUUUUCCCCAAUACAAAAAUAAUUUUUUGUGAUGCUCUUUCUGAUGAAUGAAAUUCACAGAAAAACCGCAAAAAAAAUAUACAAAAAUUUGUUGUGUCUCUAAACAAAUAUAUAAACGGUAAUAUUUGGACUCGCGAUUCGGUUCGGGAUCGUUGGGCUAUAGCUUCUGAGCCCCCACCGUCAAAGAACUGUACCGUACCGGUCGUCGCGUCGCUUCUUUGGAGGUGUUUCGAAAAAGUACCACCACGAAAAUGCAUAAAUUUCGAAUACAGUCCAAAACGGGUGCACAAUAAGCCGACAAAAACAGGAUCCUUCAGCGGCUAAGGAACACCUCAUCAAUGGUCUCUCAACGCAAUUGUGAAAAUCCUUCAUAAAAAAAGGGUAUCUAAUAUCGAGAAAAAUCGAAACAAAUCGAAAAAUCAAAGAUAACGCAGAUAUAGAUAAAGAUCUUUUAAAUACCGAUUGAAAUGUGUAUAAUGUUGAAUGCAACAAAGUGGAGUGCGCACUCCAUUUGAAAUAGAUAAAGAUGCGCAACCGCUGCCGUGGCCUCCAUUUGUGGCAUACGACGCGAUGCAACGCCUAAAUAUCCGUGGAAGAAGCAACUGCUGUGAGUGUUCGAAUGUUGUCGAAACAUGGUACGCGACAGUAGCCGUAACAUUUGUUUUGGAAAAUUAGCCGAAACUACGACAACCACAACGCCACAACAGCAACAGAUCCUGCAACAUCCUGUGCAGCAGCCACAUCAUCAACAGCAGCAGCAGCAUCAGCAGC